GAAACCCUAACGACAACAAAACCUUUCUAUUACGCAGCAUAAUGAACACAUUUUCAGCAUAUUAACUUUAAUGAGUGACAAAUGUAUGUUUAUCGCAAAUAUAUCAGUACAUAUGUUCAUAUAUUUACUUGUACAUUCCCAAAUUUUUGAAAAGGGGACUCACCACAUCAUAGCUUCUUAGAGAUAAUCUCCAUUGCAGGUCGCUAAAGAUUUCGGAUUUUUAAUUAAUCAAAGUUACAUUACAUAGUUAUUAUAAGCUGACAAUGUGCUCACUGGUUUCAAACCGCUUCUAAGCGGCUCAAAGCAGCAAACUGUUACAUCGACUUACUACCUUCUAACAUAGUAUAUAUACAAAUUCAUUCGACUUACCUGCUGCCGGGCGAUUAUCGCGUUAGGGUUCUCAACUCAAGUGCUGUGACGUUUCAAUAAACGAGUUAACGCUGUUUGUUGAUCUAUUCGUAUUUAUGUACAUAUGUAAAUAGUCAUUUUUACUUUCGAUGAUCAAUAAUUAGCGAUUUUUUCAAAUAUCUUGCCACGCCAGUUUGAAUAUUUCACAAAUUAAAUAAUCAUUAGGAGAUCACGCACAUUUUAUAUGGAAAAGAAGUGAUAGAAAGAGGCAACGUCUGGCGAGCUACUGUGACAGCACGUGAAAUCACUAACAAAAAGAACGCGAAUGGGAAUGUUUAAUGUAAUACAAGAAUUUUUUAUGUUACAAACCUGCUUUUCGGUGCUUUUUGAUUGAUAGCAUUUACAUCGAAUAUUUGUUUUGCGCAUUUCAAGUAUAAUUAAGUUUUUGCAGAUUUAUAAUAAGAUCUAACAGGCAUAGUACACGUGCAUUUCUAAUUAUCGGAAUUGUUUAUGUAAGUUUGGCCACAUUUUUACCUGCAGUGAAUAAGUUUAAAAAUGGCGAAUUUAAAAGCUGUCAUUGAGAGAAAUGAUGUUAUGAAGAUUAAUUUUAUAAAAGAUCAUGAGUUGUAAUAAAUUAUGCCCACAUACAUAUGAAUAUGUAGUUAAAUUAAAUUUUUUUAUAAAACUGGCAUUAGACGAGACAUGAUCAUGAUCAUAUAUUUUAAAAUUAGGAAAAAUUCAAGUAUAGAUACAUAUACUCAUAUAAGAUUUAAGAUUUAUCACUCACAAAAUAAUGAUAUCUUAGUUUUAUUCAUUAUAAGAUACGUAUCACUUAAUAGCCAGGAGCUCUCAAUCUGUUGAUGCCUUUUUGCAUCUUUUAAAUAAAUUCGGGGCAUUUCAAGUCAUUAAAAGGAUCACCCAAGCCUAUGCCAUAUUGUUCAAAAUACAGUUAAUUCAGUUCAACUCCUAAGCGACUCGAUUCAGUAUUAUAAUAUAUAAUAAGUCUUUCGAAACAUGUUCGAAGUCACUCGUGCUCAAGCACUGACUUUAGUGAUUAAAUUUAAUUUCAUUAAUAAUAUGUUAUUAGACGAGACACCACCUUCGUUUAAAUCUUUCAAAGCAUACGAUGACAAGUACUUCAAACAGGAAAUAUCUGCGCAAUUUUUCUUAAAAGAGUUCCUUUGAGUAUCAGAAAGAGCUACGGCUAAAAUGUGAAAAGGAUAUACGAAUAUGUAUACAUAUGUGGAAUGAAGGAAACCAAGAUCGCAAAACUUCUUUUAAUGACUGAGAGAAGUGUUGGAAAAAUUGUAUGAGGAGUUACGAUGACUGUAAAAAGUUUUCAAAUAACGUAACGAAUCGAAUAUCUGUUAAAAUCAAUAAGAACUUGGUUUCCUGAUGUCCAGGGAUGUCGUUGAAGUAUAUGGACAAGACUAAUAGCAAGAACUCUCAAUAGAAGGCGAUUGAAUCAAUAUUUAAUUACUGAAAUUUUUGAAAGAACGAAAAGCAAUAAAGCGAUAGAACAAGAACAAAUCUCUAGCAAGCUCUAGCAGCGUCUUGGCCUAAGUGACAAAACAUUUAAAAACGGUAGCAAGUAAUUGACGAGAACAUGUAUACAAUAUGGCUGGGUCAUCUCUCCACCUACUAAAUAUCACAUGUGAGCAUAUUUUGAUAGACCAUGUGGAUACUUGUGUGAAAGAUUUAGCUUUACAGUCCUCAAAGUGAUUAGACUUUAUCAAUGUGGCAAUGGACCUGAUUAGUAGGCAAUUGACCAGAUAUUCUCUUUCCGCCAAAUCUUAAAAAAAACAUUUCUCAGUAAACUCCUACAACACAUUCGAAAGUCAAAAUAUUGACAAUGAAGGUAAUUUCAGUCUUCUUAAAGUCAACUAUCGGAAACAACCUUCAAAGCAAACGUAAGAAUUAUUUUAUUAAUAACUACUACUGCGAUCUCAGUAGGUAAGUAAUUGAACUAAUUUCUCUAGGAACAAAACAAACGCUCUCUCAUCGGUUUUUUUGUAAUAUAGUUCUUACGACUUGGAUUCACUGGAUAUUAUUAAUAGGCGUUAAGUUUUGAAACAAAGAAUCGAUUGGCGUGUCAAUGGGGGUAUAGCCGAGAUCUGUAAUGAAGUUAUAGAGUUAGUCGAGAAUAAGCCGUUUUUAUUUCAUUGAUGAUUUUCAUGUCUGGAGCAUUUUGACCGACCUAUUGACAACUUAUUGAUUAUUUCUGAAAAAUUAUUAUUGAGUAAUAAUCGGUACUACAAUACAU